AUGCAUCAUCCAUGGCCAGUUCCGGACUCGCCGUACCGGAGGAAGCUACGCGGAAGGCUCCGGCUAAAACACGGCUCGGCCUUGCCUUUGGGAACAGUAACGCGUUUCGUCUGCUCAGUCCUCCUGCGCUGCUACAAGCACCACCAUCGCCAGUUGCCACCCAUCCCAUCCCACCAGCGCUUGCACGGACCGAGACCGGCAAUGGCGAGCUCGGCGCCUCCCUUCCUCUUCCUCCUCCUCCUCGUCCUCGUCGCCGCUGCCGCGGCGGCCUCGGCCUCGGAGGAGCGCCCGCGCGUCACCCCCACCUUGGUCCAGUGCCACCCGCCGCAGGCGCAGGCAACCGCCAACGCCAGCAGCGCCAAGAAAGCCACGGCGUUCCGCGCCAACGCGCUCUCCCUCCUCGCCAAGCUCCCCGCCGCCGCCGCGCCCACGGGCUUCGCCUCCCUGCGCUCCGCCGGAGUGGUCGGACGCGACGUCGCGUUCGUCCGCGGGCUCUGCUUCGGGUACGCCACGCCGUCCCAGUGCCGCUCGUGCCUGGCCGCCGCGGCCAGGAAGCUCACCGACGCCUGCGGCGCCCGCGGCCGGCGCGCCGGCGUAUGGACGGACGCCUGCUUCGCGUCCUACGCCGACGCGAACCCCUCCUCGCCCAACUACGACGGCUUCCGCGCGCGCGUCAUCACCGGCGCCGACGCGCUCAUCACCAGCACCUCCUACGAGCUGCAGAGCCUCGCCGACCUGGCGUGGCGCAUGGGGCCGGUCGCAGCCACCAGCGCGAGGAUGCAGGUGGCCGUGGACUGGACGGCCGCGGCGAGUGACUACAGGAAGAACAGCACGUACUCGGCGCGGGUGGCGGAGACCUGCGAGUGGUCCUGGUGCCCCGGGCACUCGGCGCGGGCGGGGGAGACCUGCUGCUGGGGCCUCGACGCGUGGCGCGACGGCGUAGCGGGCGCCGUCGUCGGCUUUGACUGCUACCUGCGCUUCGACGUCGCCGUCGCCACCGCCAUUGCGCCGGCGCGGGUGCCCCUGCUGAAAAGGCUCGGUGAGCAGAGCACAUUGCACCCUCUCUUCCUCCUCUCCUUCUUCGCUAAGUACGUGGGACAGAGUCGUGGAAAGUAUUUUGAUCUGAUCACGGUGGACACAAUGGCUGCAGGGAAGUUGAUGAACGACCACCCUUUCCUCACCGCGGUGUUCGGGAUAGUCGGCGGCGGGCUGGCCGUGGCAGCUUUCUACGUGCUGAUUGAGGGGAUCUGCCGCUGGCUGGAGAGCAAGAUCAGGCCCAUCAACAACGCCCCAGUUGUGCCAGUAGCAGUUGCAGGUCCAGCGGCCGUCCGGGCGGGAGUGGUGAUGGACUGA
rnacentral:rRNA from 1 species